UUCCUUUUUGGCCAAAACUUAAUGAGUUGUCUACUUCUUCUCAUUGUGUGGCACUCUAUGGUAAAAUGGCGUGUCAAUUUUGAAUUUUUAAAAUUAAAGUUAAUGAUGUGGAAAUAUUUUAACAUAGGGUUGGAUUAAAAGAAAAGAGAUUUAGGUUAGAAUCAAUUCACGAUUGGGGUUGAAGAAUUUGGUGAAAGUGAUGUUGAAAUUGGGAUCGUGAUGGUGUAAUUUCAAGAGGUCAGUGUUUUUCUUAGUAUAAUUUUGUGAUUCCUAUCUUGCGAUAACUACUUUCCUCACCUUAAUGGUGGCGCACAAAGCAAACGACCACAGCUAGGGGUUUCGAGACCCACACGAGAGAAAAACCAGUGAGACACGGGAUGCGAAAAACAAAUUGAGGAUUUCCCAAUUUAGGGUUUGUCCAAUUUAGAAUAAGG
rnacentral:lncRNA from 1 species